UGCCAGCCGCCGCGGUAAUACGGAGGGUGCAAGCGUUAUCCGGAUUCAUUGGGUUUAAAGGGUCCGUAGGCGGUUAUAUAAGUCAGUGGUGAAAGCCUACAGCUCAACUGUAGAAUUGCCAUUGAUACUGUAUAACUUGAAUCUAUUUGAAGUGGGCGGAAUACAUCAUGUAGCGGUGAAAUGCAUAGAUAUGAUGUAGAACACCGAUUGCGAAGGCAGCUCACUAAGUUAGUAUUGACGCUGAGGGACGAAAGCGUGGGGAGCGAACAGGAUUAGAUA
rnacentral:rRNA from 1 species